rnacentral:rRNA from 1 species
GAUUAACGCUGGCGGCAUGCCUAAUACAUGCAAGUCGAACGGAAGCAGCAAUGCUUUAGUGGCGAACGGGUGAGUAACACGUAGGGAACCUACCUAUACGACGAGGAUAACUACUGGAAACGGUAGCUAAAACUGGAUAGGAUCAAUUGAGGCAUCUUGAUUGAUUUAAAGAUCCUUCGGGAUUACGUAGAGAUGGCCCUGCGGCGCAUUAGCUAGUUGGUGAGUAACGGCCACCAAGGCGACGAUGCGUAGCUGAGCUGAGAGGCUAAACAGCCACACUGGGACUGAGACACGGCCCAGACUCCUACGGGAGGCAGCAGUAGGGAAUUUUCGGCAAUGGGGGAAACCCUGACCGAGCAAUGCCGCGUGAACGAUGAAGGUCUUCGGAUUGUAAAGUUCUGUGAUUGGGGAAGAAUGGUAUUCUUAGGGAAUGAGGAGUACAUGACGGUACCCGAUUAGAAAGCCCCGGCUAACUAUGUGCCAGCAGC